rnacentral:lncRNA from 1 species
UGCAGGAGGCCCUCGGUGCCCACCUGUAGGCCACGCUCACCAGCUGCACCAGAGCUGUGCUUCCAGCACCCAAAAGCUCCCUCCCUGAGCUGCACCCAGGCCUGCUCCCCACUCUCCUCACCAGCUGCACCCGUUUCUCCCACGGCCCACCCAGGGUACUAUUGAUCCUUUAGUCCUCUUCUGCCAGUGUACCCCAUGGCCCGGGACAACCCCUAGUAUGCAAUGGCUCUUUCUCGUGGGCAAUGCGUGGAGGCACACAUCAGGGCCCUGCUUUUAAGAAGGAAGUACUGAGACCUGGGUGCCGCCUCUUCUAGGAGCCAUCUGUUCACGUGGCCAGGGCUGCCUUGCAGAGGAACUCAUCUUACUUUGCCACCGUGAAAAUGACCUGUUACGUGAGACAUGCACCAAAGCACAGAGAGGGACAGCCACGAUCCUGCCCGGAACGGGUCUUCAGAACUGGGCAGAGCAUGGCUCCUUUUGGUGGGGGCCCCAGAACUCCUUUUCAAAGGCAAUGGCAGGACGGGAUCCACAGUGUGUGGCCCUUUGAUAAGGAGGCAUCCUCCAGCCAGAGUCGACACCACGUGGACAAGGUCUCAGUGCUGCUUAACACUGUUUUGGGUGCAGAACAAAGAGCGGUUGGAACAUUUCUCGUCUAGUCUCCCCCUCUGUACGUGUCCUGACUUUCUAGCUUGUUCAAAGUGGUCAAAGACCCAAGGCUGGUCUGGCACAGAAGGGGUUGUGCCUACAUGUAGGGAGGCGCUGACCCUUCUGUCUCCCCUUGUAUGUCCCCAGGGACAGGACAGCCCCCUGCCUGUUGUCCCCAGUGUCCUCUGUGAAUGGGGACCAGCUGUCUUUCGGGUAACUCCCUCCUCCUUCACCUCUGUCCACUCGCUCCGGUAGCCACCCCUUCCACGUGCAGUAUGGCUCUGCAUCCCUGAGAGCCUCGAUGACU